CACGUAGGCGGAUAGGUAAGUCAGAUGUGAAAUCCCGGAGCUCAACUUCGGAACUGCAUUUGAUACUGCCUGUCUUGAGUGUGGUAGAGGGGGAUGGAAUUCCCGGUGUAGAGGUGAAAUUCGUAGAUAUCGGGAGGAGCACCAGAGGCGAAGGCGAUCCCCUGGGCCACUACUGACGCUGAGGUGCGAAAGCGUGGGGAGCAAACA
rnacentral:rRNA from 1 species